ACUUUUAAAGGAUAGAAGUAAUCCAAUGGUUUUAGGCACCAUUCCCCCCUUGGUGCAACUCCAAGUAAAAGUC
rnacentral:tRNA from 1 species